CAGACAACGAGAGCUUCCACUUGCCCUCAGUCUGAAGGAGUUUGUGCAUCUGAUCCAAAGCAGCGGAGUCCUUGUAAUAAUGUCCCAAACAUGGAUUGAGGAGCUUUACCACCAGGUUUUAGAGCACAACCUGCUGGCUGAAGCCGGAUACUGGGGCUCACCAGAGGACUGCACGUUGCCGCUCAUCAUCAUGCUUACAGAUAUGGACAGCCUGGGCAGCAGUGCAGCUGGAGGUCAGCUGAUCAGGAGGCCAUCCACCCAAUCACCACU